rnacentral:other from 1 species
AAAUCCCUGCGGUGCGCGUGAUUUGAGUGAAGAAUCUUGAGCCAUUAGCAUUGAAAUAGGGAGCCUAAACUGGCCGGGCGCUGCGGCGCCUGUGCCGAGGGCACCCACCUGUUCAUAACAGGGUCAAGAUAAUUCAGUCUCACACGGCAUUUGCGGGGAUUUU